GAACCUUGGGCCUGGCUGGCCGGUCCGCCUCACCGCGUGCACUGGUCCGGCCGGGCCUUUCCCUCUGGGGAACCGCAUGCCAUUCACUUGGUGUGUCGGGGAACCAGGACUUUUACUUUGAAAAAAUUAGAGUGUUCAAAGCAGGCCUAUGCUCGAAUACAUUAGCAUGGAAUAAUAGAAUAGGACGUGUGGUUCUAUUUUGUUGGUUUCUAGGACCGCCGUAAUGAUUAAUAGGGACAGUCGGGGGCAUCAGUAUUCAAUUGUCAGAGGUGAAAUUCUUGGAUUUAUUGAAGACUAACUACUGCGAAAGCAUUUGCCAAGGAUGUUUUCAUUAAUCAGGAACGAAAGUUAGGGGAUGGAAAACGAUCAGAUACCGUCGUAGUCUUAACCAUAAACUAUGCCGACUAGGGAUCGGACGGUGUUAUUUUUUGACCCGUUCGGCACCUUACACGAAAGUACAAGUUUCUGGGUUCUGGGGGGAG
rnacentral:rRNA from 1 species